UACGGAGGGAGCUAGCGUUGUUCGGAAUUACUGGGCGUAAAGCGCGCGUAGGCGGCUUUGCAAGACAGGUGUGAAAUCCCCGGGCCUAACCUGGGAACUGCAUUUGUGACUGCAUGGCUAGAGUUUGUCAGAGGGGGGUGGAAUUCCACGUGUAGCAGUGAAAUGCGUAGAGAUGUGGAGGAACACCGAUGGCGAAGGCAGCCCCCUGGGCUAACACUGACGCUCAUGCACGAAAGCGUGGGGAGCAAACAGG
rnacentral:rRNA from 1 species